CGGUUUCCUCAACGCCACCUCUUUCCCGUCCGAACUGUCGUGAAGGUACCAGUUCAGGAUUCCAGUGUUUCCGUACACCAUUUGCUCGAACUUCCAUGGCUUCAAGCUCGCUGUUGCGGUUUCUCCGACUGCUAAUUUUAUGCCUGGUGAGAUUCUCGAUGGGAAAUGCUUUUCGGAUCUUCCGACUCCUCGUUUUGACAUGAGUGUGUCGUUCACGAGUUGGAUGAUACUGCACCUGUAAGAAUUUGAGGGAGGUACGUUUUAAACUCCAUUGUCAAUGAUAUGUGAGAAUCUGUAAUGUGAAUUACUUCUAGCAUAAUAAAAUGUCAGGUUUGGAAUCAA